UAAGAUCCCUCAUGGCAUCAAAACAUUGCAUUUGCAUUGCCUCAAGGAUCAUAAGCAUCUUGGCUCCUUUGCCUUUGGGUAGGACCUCUUGUGAGUGGUUUGAGUUCACCAAGCAUGCUUGAAUUGUAUAUCAUUGCUUUUCUCAUUUUAUUUACUAACCAAAAACACAAAAAUAUGUCACUAACAUUUCUUGUUUGUAGCUUGAGC
rnacentral:lncRNA from 1 species